CUGGUUGAUCCUGCCAGACCCGACUGCUAUCGGAUUGGGACUAAGCCAUGCGAGUCAACUCCGCAAGGGGUGGCGCACGGCUCAGUAACACGUAGUCAACCUACCCUGGGGACGGGGAUAACCUCGGGAAACUGAGGCUAAACCCCGAUGGGCCAUGGCUCCUGGAAUGGGCUAUGGCUGAAAUCUACAUGGCCCCAGGAUGGGACUGCGGCCGAUCAGGUUGUUGGUGGGGUAAUGGCCCACCAAGCCUAUAACCGGUGCGGGCUCUGAGAGGAGGAGCCCGGAGAUGGGCACUGAGACAAGGGCCCAGGUCCUAUGGGGCGCAGCAGGCGCGAAACCUCCGCAAUGGGCGAAAGCCCGACGGGGUCAGUCCGAGUGGUUCCCGCUGAGGGAACCUUUUGCCAGCUGUAAACAGGCUGGCGAAUAAGGGGUGGGCAAGUUUGGUGUCAGCCGCCGCGGUAAUACCAGCACCCCGAGUGGUCGGGACGAUUAUUGGGCCUAAAGCAUCCGUAGCCGGCCCAGUAAGUCCUCCGUUAAAUCCAACGGCUCAACCGUUGGGCUGCGGGGGAUACUGCUGGGCUAGGGGACGGGAGAGGCGAGGGGUAUUCCCGGGGUAGGGGUAAAAUCCACUGAUCCCGGGAGGACCACCAGUGGCGAAGGCGCCUCGCUAGAACGUGCCCGACGGUGAGGGAUGAAAGCUGGGGGAGCGAACCGGAUUAGAUACCCGGGUAGUCCCAGCCGUAAACGAUGUAGGCUCGGUGUUGGGCUGCCUCAGUGGCAGCCCAGUGCCGCAGGGAAGCCGUUAAGCCUACCGCCUGGGGAGUACGGCCGCAAGGCUGAAACUUAAAGGAAUUGGCGGGGGAGCACCGC
rnacentral:rRNA from 1 species